rnacentral:lncRNA from 1 species
UGUUGGUUGAAGAAAAUUGAUAGCAGUAUAGAUGACUUUACAUUAUGAGUCCGGCUAAUAUACUUUUAUGAAUAUUGGCUCUCUUAAACUCAUAAAUUUUCGGCCCUUAGAUUUAUUCCAUGAUCAUUUCCACCCGUUAGAUCAUACUAUUCAAUCAACUACCCACUCAACCUUAGAGGACCACUAUCAUUCUAAGUGGGGACUGCCAUCAUCCUAACCACACAUUCUAUCAAUUAACGGUUAAAAAUUUAUGAGUACAAAGGGUUCUAUACUUAUAAGAGUAUAGGAGCCCCAGCCUUACAUUAUUACUGAAUAUAUAUAUUUACUUGCUUUUCCGGUCAACAAAUCUGUUAACUAAUAAAACGGAGGAUAAGAACGUGUCGUUCAUCUUUUUCUUGAAAGAAAAACUAUUCAAAGGUUACAUGCAGAGACUCGAAUCUUUGACCUCGUGCGUGAAUCUCUCUCACUAUCAAUUACAAAAUAAACAAAAUACAAA